rnacentral:lncRNA from 1 species
UUCCCCAUUUUUACUCCAUUAAUUAAUAGGUUUACCCACCCCCACCAACAAUUUUCAAUCAUUCACCAAAUCCUACCCCAAAAAUUUUUCAUCGGCGGCUGAUCAACACCAGGUAAUUUUUUUUUUUAUUUUUUUUGUACGUAAAUCAUCUGUUUUUCACGAUUUUUUUCUUCCCAUUCUAAGAAUCCGAACAAAUACACCUCUUCGACUUGAAAUUUAAGAUAUUUCGAGAUUAGAAUAGAUUUCAUUUUAUGUUUUAUGUUUCAGAAAUCGGAGCUCAUAUUUCCGAACAAAUACACUGUAUUUUUCUGAAAUUGUUGUGUAGUUAUUUCAUUUUAUGUUUUUGUUUUUUCUAUGACUGAAUAAUGAUUUUUUGUUUUAUAUGUUAUUUGGCUGUAAAAUUAAAUUAUUCAGAUAUAAUAAUAGCUUAUUCACAAUAAAUGUAUUUUUAUUCAGAAUGUUAAAUUUGACUUGAAUCUCCCACUACAAUCAUGAAGGUGAUUAAGGAAUCCUGGGAGAAGCAGACAACACUAAGAUCACCAAGCAAGAAUUGGAUUUCCUCUUGGAUGAAGAGCAGUAUUAAGAUGAAGUGUUGGAUUUGUAUGUCAUUUAUGUUUGUUCAGAAAAGUUGUAUUGUUAUUCGACAUUUUAUAGUGACAUAUUCGUUUUAAUAUGAAUAGUGGAUUGCUUUAAAUUAUUGUAGAUUUAUAUAAC